CCUACGGGGGACAGCAGUCGAGAAUCAUUCACAAUGGGGGAAACCCUGAUGGUGCGACGCCGCGUGGGGGAAUGAAGGUCUUCGGAUUGAAAACCCCUGGCAUGUGGGAGCAAAUUAAAAAGAUAGUACCACAAGAGGAAGAGACGCGUAACUCCGUGCAAGCAGCAGAGGUAAUACAGAGGUAGCAAGCGUUGUUCGGAAUCACUGGGCGUAAAGCGUGCGUAGGCUGUUUCGUAAGUCGUGUGUGAAAGGCGCGGGCUCAACCCGCGGACGGCACAUGAUACUGCGGGACUAGAGUGAUGGAGGGGGAACCGGAAUUCUCGGUGUAGCAGUGAAAUGCGUAGAUAUCGAGAGGAACACUCGUGGCGAAGGCGGGUUCCUGGACAUUAACUGACGCUGAGGCACGAAGGCCAGGGGAGCGAAAGGGAUUAGAUACCCUGGUAGUC
rnacentral:rRNA from 1 species